UACAGAGGUCCCAAGCGUUGUUCGGAUUCAUUGGGCGUAAAGGGUGCGUAGGCGGCGCGGUAAGUCGGGUGUGAAAUCUCGGGGCUUAACUCCGAAACUGCACUCGAUACUGCCGCGCUUGAGGACUGGAGAGGAGACUGGAAUUUACGGUGUAGCGGUGAAAUGCGUAGAUAUCGUAAGGAAGACCAGUGGCGAAGGCGGGUCUCUGGACAGUUCCUGACGCUGAGGCACGAAGGCCAGGGGAGCAAACGGG
rnacentral:rRNA from 1 species